rnacentral:rRNA from 1 species
AUGAACGCUAGCGGCAGGCUUAACACAUGCAAGUCGAGGGUAGAAGGAGCUUGCUCCUUUGAGACCGGCGCACGGGUGCGUAACGCGUAUGCAAUCUACCUUUUGCAGAGGGAUAGCCCAGAGAAAUUUGGAUUAAUACCUCAUAGUAUGUGAGGAUGGCAUCAUUUUCACAUUAAAGUCACAACGGCAAAAGAUGAGCAUGCGUCCCAUUAGCUAGUUGGUAAGGUAACGGCUUACCAAGGCUACGAUGGGUAGGGGUCCUGAGAGGGAGAUCCCCCACACUGGUACUGAGACACGGACCAGACUCCUACGGGAGGCAGCAGUGAGGAAUAUUGGACAAUGGGCGCAAGCCUGAUCCAGCCAUGCCGCGUGCAGGAUGACGGUCCUAUGGAUUGUAAACUGCUUUUGUACAGGAAGAAACACUACUUCGUGAAGUAGCUUGACGGUACUGUAAGAAUAAGGAUCGGCUAACUCCGUG